AUUGAACGCUGGCGGCAUGCUUUACACAUGCAAGUCGGACGAGUGGCGAACGGGUGAGUAACAUAUCGGAACGUACCGAGUAAUGGGGGAUAACUAAUCGAAAGAUUAGCUAAUACCGCAUAUUAUUCGAGCGGCCGCUAGCGGAUUAGCCGGUUGGUGGGGUAAAGGACUACCAAGGCGACGAUCAGGAGCGGGUCGGAGAGGAUGAUCCGCCCCACUGGUACUGAUACACGGCCCGGACUCCUACGGGAGGCAGCAGUGGGGAAUUUUGGACAAUGGGCGCAAGCCUGAGCCAGCCAUGCCGCGUGAGUGAUGACGGCCUUCGGGUUGUAAAGCUCUGUUAAUCGGGACGCGGUACCGGAAUAGAAAGCCACGGCUAACUACGUGCCAGCCGCCGCGGUAAUAC
rnacentral:rRNA from 1 species